rnacentral:lncRNA from 1 species
CCUUUUGACCCCUGUGUUUAGGAUGACUCAGGGUUAAACUGUCAACCCUGAUGAUAUCAUCCGAAUCGUGCUCAACUCAAUUAGUCCUGUGACUCCUCACUAGGACUACCCUGGCUAAGGUUUUGCUAAAUUGAAACACGACUGUACACAGCUCCUAAACUGGAGUGGUCAAUCCCAUCUUGACACAUGCACCGACAAGUCAAGUACUUGACUACACCCAAUAGCCUUCCGUCAUUGAAUUAGAAAUUCAGGUAGUCCAGUGCCUAAGUGCAGUGAGUUGCUUGCAAGUCACCGUGGCGGUCUC